UCAUGUUGUGCCAGCUUAAUCAUAAAUACAGCACUCAGGAGUAACAACAUGUAAAAAAGUUUUACAAAUAUUAUGAAUGUUUAUCAAAGUA